GUUCCCAUGGCGCAGUUGGACAGCGCGCGACGCUACGAACGUCGAGGUCGCAGGUUCGAAUCCUGCUGGGAACG
rnacentral:tRNA from 1 species